AGAGUUUGAUCCUGGCUCAGGAUGAACGCUAGCUACAGGCUUAACACAUGCAAGUCGUGGGGCAGCAUUUACCUUUCGGGGUAAGAUGGCGACCGGCGCACGGGUGAGUAACGCGUAUCCGACCUGCCCCCCACCCCGGCACAGGCUUCCGAAAGGGAGGUUAAUGCCGGAUGCCGCCGCGGCGCUGCAUGGCGCUGUGGCGAAAGGUCCGCCGGUGGGGGAUGGGGAUGCGUCCCAUUAGGCAGCCGGCGGGGUAACGGCCCACCGGGCCCACGAUGGGUAGGGGUUCUGAGAGGAAGGUCCCCCACAUUGGAACUGAGACACGGUCCAAACUCCUACGGGAGGCAGCAGUGAGGAAUAUUGGUCAAUGGCCGCAAGGCUGAACCAGCCAAGUAGCGUGAAGGACGGCGGCCCUACGGGUUGUAAACUUCUUUUACGGUGGAUUAAUCGUCCCCACGUGUGGGGAUUUGCAGUUACGCCGUGAAUAAGCAUCGGCUAACUCCGUGCCAGCAGCCGCGGUAAUACGGAGGAUGCGAGCGUUAUCCGGAUUCAUUGGGUUUAAAGGGAGCGCAGACGGGAUUUCAAGUCAGUUGUAAAAUAUCGGUGCUCAACGCCGUUGUGCAAUUGAAACUGUUGUUCUUGAGUGCGGUGAGGGCAGGCGGAAUUCGUGGUGUAGCGGUGAAAUGCUUAGAUAUCACGAAGAACUCCGAUCGCGAAGGCAGCCUGCCGUGCCUGCACUGACGUUCAUGCUCGAAAGCGCGGGUAUCAAACAGGAUUAGAUACCCUGGUAGUCCGCGCCGUAAACGAUGGACACCCGCUGUCGGCGAUACAAUGUCGGCGGCCAAGCGAAAGCGUUAAGUGUCCCACCUGGGGAGUACGCCGGCAACGGUGAAACUCAAAGGAAUUGACGGGGGCCCGCACAAGCGGAGGAACAUGUGGUUUAAUUCGAUGAUACGCGAGGAACCUUACCCGGGCUUGAACCGGAGUCGACGUGGGGCGAAAGUCCCAUUCCCGCGAGGGCGGUUCCGGAGGUGCUGCAUGGUUGUCGUCAGCUCGUGCCGUGAGGUGUCGGCUCAAGUGCCAUAACGAGCGCAACCCCCCCCUCCAGUUGCCAUCGGUUCGGCCGGGCACUCUGGAGGCACUGCCGUCGUAAGAUGCGAGGAAGGCGGGGAUGACGUCAAAUCAGCACGGCCCUUACGUCCGGGGCUACGCACGUGUUACAAUGGGACAUACAGCGGGAAGCCACCCGGCGACGGGGCGCGGAUCCCGAAAGUGUCCCCCAGUUCGGACUGGAGCCUGCAACCCGGCUCCACGAAGCUGGAUUCGCUAGUAAUCGCGCAUCAGCCACGGCGCGGUGAAUACGUUCCCGGGCCUUGUACACACCGCCCGUCAAGCCAUGAAAGCCGGGGGUACCUGAAGUGCGUAACCGCGAGGGUCGCCCUAGGGUAAAACCGGUGAUUGGGGCUAAGUCGUAACAAGGUAACCGUA
rnacentral:rRNA from 1 species